CAUCCACAUGGAUGAGUUCUUUAGUUAUUUGUACUAGUCACUUAUGAAAAAUCAAAAGUUUCUUAACAUUUCUAUGUAGUCAUUUUUUAAGGAAUAGGAACAAAUGACUGGCAAUGGUGAGGUGUGGUGGAUAGUAAUUUGAUGAACAAUAGGUCUUAUUUUACUCUUUGUUGGAUUUUUUUUUUCUAUUUUAGACUUUCAAGGAAGCCCCAGACGGUUUGUAGAGGUAUUGUCUAGCUCCCAACCACAGAAUUUGUAGUUUCACUUUUGAGAUCCUAAAUAUGUGUGACUAUAUAAGCAUGCAAGACAUUCAAAAAUUGGAGACUUGGUUGAUUAUGAUGCAAUUCAUAUAUCCCUAUUGACUACAAAAACAAGCAUCAGAGUACUUGGUUGUUCAAACUUCAAACAGGUAUGGUGAGCAAUGCAAGGAUACUCCUCCAGCCCAGGAACCCAUGAGUACUUCUAUAUAUAACGACGGAAGAAGUGCUAGCUGGCCCUACUUGGCUACAAAUCUUAUGGUAUACACCAUAAAUGUUAAGUUUCGUAACAAUUGCUGUAUAUUUCAAGGAAGAUUAUAAAAGGCUACCUUAAGGCACGCUUUCUGCCUAGGCGUAGGCUUAAAUGCAGCGAUUGCUCUGGUAAAAUCAUGCAGGCGCAAAAAGUGCACAGUAGGAGGGAAAAGCUUAAGCCUCAGUAAGUCUGCUGUAGUUCGGUUGAUGUAGAACUCAGGCUCCUUGAAA